GGACGUGGUGGAAGGAGGGAAGUGAGCGCGGUGAAGGAGGCCCGCCCGGUUUUAACUCGGGCCCGGGCCUCCCACACACAGGGAGGCAGAGGCGGAAAUAAACGUCGCGCUAGAGCAGCGAGACCGCUAGUUAGCAAACUUUAUUGUGUUCAAAACAACUUUAUUUUAAUGUCAAAUAGUUGAGACCAUUGAAAGGUGUCACCAAUGGAAGGUACAAACUGUGAUGAUGAAGCCAGAGGGCUCCUCCUCCAUCUUAGUAACUUAACAAUUAUUAUUAUUACAUUAGUCCUUAAAUGAAAGAUCAUCUGAAAACUCUCAUUUCAUAGUUUAAAAUAGAAGGAAACGUUAAAGGAAAUCGCAUGCGAUUAGUUUGAAUUUAAUGUCAAUAGUUUAGUUUUAUAUUUCACCAUCUGAAAAUUAAUAUUGCUGAUUUGUUAAAAUUAAAGAGGCAAUGUUCUAAUUUUGGCUCCAACUGAAUGAAGGUCAUUAGAUAAAGCUUGUGAUCUACUUUUAUGGUAAUAAUUAUACAUCUGAUAAUUAGUCUAAAAGUCUCGAGUAAAUUAAAUUUUUAAAAAUGGUGCUAGUAUUAGUGAACGAAAAAAAUCUGUAAGGUCUGUUUGAACAUUUAAUGAAUGUUAGUCUAAGAGGCUGAAAAUAAUCAAAUAAAAAUGGAGACAAGGUUUACCAAUAGUGUAGCCUGAGGAAAAGAAAGCCCAUUUUAAGAACCAAACAUUUGACAAGUUAUCCUCAACCAUAUGAGAAUGAGCUGGGAUCAUUUUAAGCAACAUUGGUAGUUGGAUAGAAGAAUUAACCUUUAAGAUUCUGAUGAUGGAUUAACCUGAAAUGUUAAUGCUGUUUCUUAUCUCACAGUUGCUGUAUGACCUGCUGGGUAGCUCCAGUUCCUCUUCCCCCACAGAUGCUGUUCAACCCACAGUGUUCCUCCAGCAGAUUUUGUUGCUCCAGAUUGCAGCAUCUGCAGUCAGCAUUAUUAUUUGUUAGGUUUUGUAUGUCUUCAUAUUUUUUUGGCUUUGGGAUAUUCUGAGGAGAGAAAAUCAAAAAUAUCCAACUUUUUAAAGAGUUAUUUUCACAGCUACACUGUAAAAUGCACACAAAAUCAACUUGAAGUAUCUUACGAUGUUGGGAUGAUUAAAUAAGUAGAAACCAGAGAAAUUGAAACGGUUUACGAAUUUACUAAGGUACACUAUGGAUUGUUAUCGAAGGUGCGUAAAAUUUUAACAAAAUGUUGCUGGGGAGAAGGAGAGACGUUUCAGUGAAGGGAAAAUUGUAAAUUUGAAGUCAAAACCACAGUUCUAUAUCAGUUAGUCUGGUGUAAUAAUAAACAAUGUGUAAAAGGAAGGGAAAAUGGAUGGGGAGAAAUAUGGCUUAAAAAUCCAUGUGAUAGGAGGGAGAACACGCAAACUCCAGAUAGACAACACCAGAGGUCAGAUUUGAAUUUGAGCUGUGCCAGAAUGCUAUCACAAAUAAUCGAUAAAUAAGAAUGAAUACAAAAUAUAAUUAAUUGUUCUCAACAUGUGUAUAUUACUCCAAUAAAUAAAGCUCCCAUAGUCACAAUGUCCAAUCUGGGGAUGAAUUUAAAUUAAAAAAAACCCACCCAAUUGUACGAGAGGCGUAUAAUGUUGAAGAACAAUUGGUAUAAUCUUAGAAAUCAGAAA